UACGUAGGGGGCUAGCGUUGUCCGGAAUCAUUGGGCGUAAAGAGCACGCAGGCGGUUUGGCAAGUCGGAUGUGAAAACCCGGAGCUCAACUCCGGACCUGCAUCCGAAACUGCCCGACUAGAGGUAGGUAGGGGAGAUCGGAAUUCCUGGUGUAGCGGUGAAAUGCGCAGAUAUCAGGAGGAACACCGGUGGCGAAGGCGGAUCUCUGGGCCUUACCUGACGCUCAGGUGCGAAAGCUAGGGGAGCGAACAGG
rnacentral:rRNA from 1 species